GGCUCUGCUCCCUUUGCUCCUCCCCCUUCCCUGUGUGUCUGAGGGUGCGGCCUCCAUUCUCCUCACCUGCUGCCUGCUGUCUCACCUGCUCUCAAUCAUUCAUCAUGCCUCAGUCUUCAAGAACCCCGGUCUUCCUCCCAUUCAUCGCCAGAUUGUUUCAGCCUAUGUGGUGGGUCCCUUUGUGCAGUUUGGCUUCCUGUGUCUGCUCACCUGUGCCUCUGUGUCUCCGGUCUCUUCCGCCAUCUCACCCACCCGUUCCUGCUGUGGCCGCCCCUCAUCCCCCCUGUGUGUGUGUGUGUGUGCGUGGAAUAAAACCCCCUUUAAACCUUC